UACUUAGGGUGCGAGCGUUGUCCGGAAUUAUUGGGCGUAAAGGGCUCGUAGGCGGUCUGUCACGUCGGGAGUGAAAACUCAGGGCUUAACCCUGAGCCUGCUUCCGAUACGGGCAGACUAGAGGUAUGCAGGGGAGAACGGAAUUCCUGGUGUAGCGGUGAAAUGCGCAGAUAUCAGGAGGAACACCGGUGGCGAAGGCGGUUCUCUGGGCAUUACCUGACGCUGAGGAGCGAAAGUGUGGGGAGCGAACAGG
rnacentral:rRNA from 1 species